GACGAAGGAUGCGAGCGUUAUCCGGAUUCAUUGGGUUUAAAGGGAGCGUAGGUGGCCUUAUAAGUCAGUGGUGAAAUCCCGCAGCUUAACUGUGGAAUUGCCAUUGAUACUGUAGGGCUUGAGUACAGAUGCCGUUGGCGGAAUAUGACAUGUAGUGGUGAAAUACAUAGAGAUGUCAUAGAACACCGAUUGCGAAGGCAGCUGACGAAACUGUAACUGACAAUGAGGCUCGAAAGUGUGGGGAUCAAACAGG
rnacentral:rRNA from 1 species